GUACAGGGGGAAAAACGGAUUCCUGCACGACGUCACAUCACGUGAUGUGUUACGAAAUGAGCAAACUGUCCGAUAAAAACGUCCGACUGCGAUCGGAGGACCGAAACUGUUGACAGGAGGCGGACGGCGAAUCUCACCUUCUGCGUCCACUACACCUUCAGGGAGGACCGGCGUCUCUUCAAAGUCCACGUCUCUGUGUUUCCGCUCACUUCCUGGACAGGGUUUCUGUGCCCCUGCAGUUGGAUUAUCGGGUAACUCUGCCUGAAAAGUUCCUUCAGAACCAACGAAUGGACUCAGCGGGAGGAGAAGGACUGCAGGACUCGUUAAAGUUCUGAUCUACAACGCUCACAAAGUGCAGCAGAACCUCUGAACAGGGAAGAUGUUUGAACGGAGACGGCUGGCGGAGGACGGCUUCUUCUCUUUAGGAGACAUGAAGGAGCUUCGGAGGCAGAUGGUCAACGUCACCAGAAGGUCCAGAAGCAUUAAGAGAACACGUCCACUCUGACCAAAGCCGUGUGGUAUGAACGGAAAGAUCUGCUGGUUCGGCUCAUUCAGACGGUCAAUUUUUCAGUUCACCACAAGGGGUCAGCAAUGAGUCACAGAAAUUAAACAUGUAGAACAUUUACAAAAUGAAAACCUAAUUUUGUGACAGGUUCACUGCCACCAAAAUUACAUAAGAUUUGUAUGUACACAUGUAAAAUCUUGUCAUUUAAAAAAAAUAACAAUAUAAAGAACCUUAAACCGUUAACCUUCAUUUUUAACAUCUUACUCAUGUUGUACUAAAACUACAAGUUUUUGAACUGGGCGUUCAAGAAAAGACACUUGCUUCAAGCGUUCACCCUUUUCUCCCAAAGCUCACCGUAUCCCAGUCAGAGAAUCUAGAGAACCUCUCGGGAAAACUGUCCCUCUGCUGUGCUUGUGUUUUUAGAACUUUUACCUCAGGGUCACCUAAAAGCUCUGGAGAAUGCUGUUUCAUGACAAAUGUUUGUUCCCAUAGAGAAUUAGGCCCAGUGAUCCAGUUUGAUUCAGUAAGCUCUGCCACCUUGAGUCCUCUAGAUGCAUGAUCUGCUGGAUUUUGGUCUGUCUCAGUGUAAAACCACUGGUUUGGAUCUGUGAGGCUUCUGAUUUUCUGCACUCGAUUGGCAACAAAAGCAUGAAAGCGACGCGCUUCAUUUUUUAUGUACCCUAGUACCACCUGGGAAUCUGUCCAGAAAAAUUCUUCUGUUCGGAGAAGAUGACUUACUCCUGCAGAAACUGCAGCAGCUGUCAGUUCCAGACAUGGUAUAGUCACUACUCUUGUGGGCGCUACUCUUGCCUUUGCCAUAACCAGGGCACAGUGUACUUUGUCACUUGACACAACCCUUACAUAUGAACACUGCCCGUAGCCGCUACUGCUGGCAUCUGAGAAAUGAUGCAACUCUAUUUUCUGGAUUGCACCAAUGUUUUCAGGGAUGAGACAUCUUUUUAUUUGAACCUUUAGAAAGUUUUCCAGAUCCUCAAGCCAUGCUUUCCAUUUGGUCUCCAAUGCAGGUGGGAGGGGUUCAUCCCAUCCAACUCCACGUUUACACAUUUCUUGUAGAACUUGCUUUCCAGUCAGUAUGAAGGGAGAAAGAAAUCCUAGUGGAUCAGACACAAUUGCGAUUCCUCUCCGUGUAUUUUGCUUUUCUUUGAGAUUGACACUGAAUGAAAACGUAUCCAUUUCCACAUUCUAUUUGACUCUGAGAACACUUUGCAUUGGAAGUUCAGAGUAGUUCAGACUUACGUCUUUGUCAUUACAAGCACGCUCAGACACUGGUAUGGCAUCCAGGACCUCUUUCUUGUUGCACAUGAAUUUGUGUAAGCGCAACUUUCCUUUUUUACAAAUUUCUUGUGCUUCACUGACUAGCUGUUUUGCCUUUUGGAUUGAAUCAAGACUGAUGAGACCGUCAUCCACAUGGAAGUUUUUGUGAAUAAAGCUGGCUGCUUCGGGGUAUUCCUUCUCGUGUUCUUGAGCAAGAAACUUCAGUCCAUAGUUUGCACAUGCUGGCGAAGAUGACGCUCCAAAAAUAUGAACUCGCAUGCAAUGGUCUUUGGGUUCACUAUCAAUAUUUCCAUCCUGCCACCACAUAAAUCUUAGGAAGUCUCUGUCUUUGGGGCAAACAUGAAAACGAUGAAACAUCUUCUCCACAUCACAACUGAUUGCAACUUGGUGUUGGCGGAAUCUGCAAAGAACUCCUAUGAGAGUAUUAGAUUCACUGGCCAUGAAUCUCACAUAGUCUUCUUUGUAUUUUGGAUUUCUUUGCAUCUUUCCUUUUAGAUGUUUCAAGCGCAGUUUUGCAAGCUGUUUAUUGUUUGGAAGUUGAUGGCGCUCUUUGAAAGGUAGAGGCAUUUCCAAAUGGUCUUCGCUGUUGUAGUGAAUGUUUUCAUUCAGGAAGUGCAGAAACUGGAAGUCUUCCUGAGAUGUUUCCUUCUGAAGGAUUUGUGUCCAUAAAAUCUGUUUCCAACACUUUAAUGACUGAAGCGGGUGUGAUGCAUGGCAGCUCUUUCACGUUAAGACGAUGGCAUGUUCCAGUAAUAUCCAUAGCACUGGUCCAAGGCUUCAUGGAUCCCACUAUACUCCAUCCUAAGUCUGUUUUCACUGCAGAGGGGUCAUGGUCGUUGCCUGGGAUUACUUUUCUUGGUUUUAGAGCUCUUGCACAAUCAUAACCAAUCAGAAGUGCUCUAGGACAAUCCAACAGAUUGGGUAUUUCUUUUGGAAUACUGUGCAAGUGAGGCCAUGCUUCUGCUGUUUUACAAGUGGGUACACUGUUUUGUUCAAGCGGAAUGUACUCACGAGCAGGGCCGGCCCUGGUCUUCUGGGGGCCCUAAGCGAAAUUUAAUUUGUGGGCCCUCUAACUGAUCAGCAGCACCAAAAAACGCAACUGUUGUUGUAAUAUAAAUGAGAUAUCUCUAUUAAUACAUUUGUGAAUUAUGGUUGCUGCCAAAUAAUUGAAUACAGUAUAUUGCCUGGAUGUUGGAUGCACAUUAAGUGGUGCCAAACAAAUUUUAAAUGCAAAGAAAAAAAAUCAAUGACAAAUGUAUAUAGAUAUAUAGAUAUAUAUUUUUUAAUGUAUUAUUAGGCAGUCAACAAAUGACAUUCACAAAACUCCAACUUAUUACAAACAGCAACUUAAUAGCAAAUCAAAUAACUAUAAAACAAUCCAAAGUAAAGAAAACAACAGCUCAAUGAGGGGGAGUUUGGAAAGUCAGAGUCUUUAUCAGUCUGAAAAGGACCUCUUUGCACCAAAUCCAUUCUUACUGGAUCAGAGAGUGUGGUUGGCCAUUCAGCUGGACCAACUGGAUUUGAGGUAGGUGGAAUUUUGGAUCCAGUCGGCUCCUCUUCCAUAUACGCCUCUCUUGGAGCCUCUGGAACAUAAGAGACAGAACUUCAAUAAAAGCAAACAGUGAAAAGUCAAACAGUCAAAUGUUUCCCUUUCAACAGUAGAUGUGGUGACAGCAGUUUCUUCUGCAGCUAAAAAACAAGAAUUAUUAUUAUACAAUAAUCAAUGAUAAAGCUAAUAAAAUAACUUUAGCAGAAUACUAAUAAUACUUUCUAAAUAGGUCUAAAUUGCCAACAUUUUGGAUCAAAUCUGCCUCUCAGUGCAAGACCAGUCAAGGACACAGCCAGCAGAGCAAACAACCUGCUGGCGCCGGAAAAUCUAAUCUAAUCGGACCCCCCCCCCUGAGCUGAGACUCCUUGGCUCCAACCAAAACAUAAUUCGCUCUCAGAGUGUGAAAACCGCCGCUGUGCUGAAGGCCGAUGCUGCUGCUCAACCCCCCCUCGACCUCGACAUUCCUCGGAACUCACCCCCCGCCCCCGAGUGAGCACUCCUGGAGACGCGAGCGCCCGUGAGGAGCAGCUGCGACCGGAGUGUAACACAGGGGGGGGCCCCACCCCCCCUAUCCAACCUUCCCAGUGAUCCUUGUGUACUGCGUGGCCGUGAGAAUAUGUGCUUCUGUGUUCAGACGGUGUUUUUUUCUUGUAUCUACACAUUGUAUCACAGUGUUGAGAUACGACUUUUUUUGUCACCAAUCACCCUACCCACCUAUUGUAACCAUCUUUACCCACCCUAAGAAAAAUAGGUGCGCACUUGCUGCUGCUGCCUCAGUAAAACUCGAACUGUAUGUGUAUUUGUUGUAUGUCUGAUCUUGUUCGGGUUGCACUGGAACAAUAUCGUAUGUCAGUGUAAAAGCUGUGCGUAUGACAAUAAAAGGAUUCUGAUUCUGAU